rnacentral:tRNA from 1 species
GUGACGUAGCCAAGUGGUAAGGCAUGGGACUGCAACUCCCUGAUCGCCGGUUCAAAUCCGGCCGUCAC